rnacentral:rRNA from 1 species
GCGUGAGUGAAGAAGGCCUUAGGGUCGUAAAGCUCUUUCAAUUGUGAAGAUAAUGACGGUAACAAUAGAAGAAGCCCCGGCUAAAUUCGUGCCAGCAGCCGCGGUAAUACGAAUGGGGCAAGCGUUGUUCGGAAUCACUGGGCUUAAAGCGUGCGUAGGCGGAUUUGCAAGUCAGACGUGAAAUCCCGGGGCUCAACCCCGGAACUGCGUUUGAAACUGCAAAUCUAGAAACCGGUAGGGGUGAGUGGAAUUCCAAGUGUAGAGGUGAAAUUCGC